GGGGGGGGCGAGCGUUAUUCGGAAUUAUUGGGCGUAAAGGGCGCGUAGGCGGCUUUUUAAGUCAAAGGUGAAAUCCCUCGGCUCAACUGAGGAACUGCCUUUGAAACUGAGGAGCUUGAGUCCGGGAGGGGGUAGCGGAAUUCCCAGUGUAGCGGUGAAAUGCGUAGAUAUUGGGAGGAACACCAGUGGCGAAGGCGGCUACCUGGACCGGAACUGACGCUGAGGCGCGAAAGCGUGGGUAGCAAACAGGAUUAGAUACCCUGGUAGUCCACGCUGUAAACGAUGGGUGCUCGGUGUCGCGGGUAUCGACCCCUGCGGUGCCUUAGCUAACGCGUUAAGCACCCCGCCUGGGGAGUACGGUCGCAAGGCUG
rnacentral:rRNA from 1 species